rnacentral:rRNA from 1 species
UGGGGAAUAUUGGACAAUGGGCGCAAGCCUGAUCCAGCCAUGCCGCGUGAGUGAUGAAGGCCCUAGGGUUGUAAAGCUCUUUCAUCGGUGAAGAUAAUGACGGUAACCGGAGAAGAAGCCCCGGCUAACUUCGUGCCAGCAGCCGCGGUAAUACGAAGGGGGCUAGCGUUGUUCGGAUUUACUGGGCGUAAAGCGCACGUAGGCGGACUUUUAAGUCAGGGGUGAAAUCCCGGGGCUCAACCCCGGAACUGCCUUUGAUACUGGAAGUCUUGAGUAUGGUAGAAGUGAGUGGUAUACCUCGUGGAGAGGUGGAAUACGUAGAUAUUCGGAGGAACACCAGUGGCGAAGGCGGCUCACUGGACCAUUACUGACGCUGAGGUGCGAAAGCGUGGAGAGCAAACAGG